GAUUAACUGGCUGACUGAUUUCAACAACUGGAAUGAUACAGAGAAAUUAGUAUGGCCCUGUGCAAGGAUGAUAUGAAAAUUCAUUAAGUUUUUUUU
ensembl:snRNA U6 U6 spliceosomal RNA